AAACGAUUAUGUUUUAAAAGUGCCUUAUGCGUUUAAGGAUAAUAGGGAAAUCGGUGGAAAUCCGAUGCAGCCCCCGCUACUGUAAGUGUGGAUGAACCUGCAACAAACUGCUAGCAAUGAGCUAGGAAGGUGCAGAAGUAAAGUGAAGCACAAGCCAGGAGACCUGCUUUUAAACAUUAACUCUU
rnacentral:ncRNA from 2 species